rnacentral:misc_RNA from 1 species
AACACUGUUAACCUGCGGUACCUGCGGAGGGAUCAUUAUAGUAUAUGGAAUCUCCAUUCUAUAAACCCACUCUGCGUAUCUUGUAACUGUUGCUUCCAUGGGACUUGGUUCCGCCACACCGGCUUCACGGCUGGUGAGCGCCCAUGGAAGGAGAAACAAAACUCUUCUUUGAAAUGUAGUCAGUCUGAACAAGUUUUUGUAAACGUUAAAACUUUCAACAACGGAUCUCAGAUCGGAAGA